rnacentral:rRNA from 1 species
UACGUAGGGGGCAAGCGUUGUCCGGAUUUAUUGGGCGUAAAGAGCGUGUAGGCGGCCGUACAGGUCAGCUGUGAAAACUCGAGGCUCAACCUCGAGACGUCGGUUGAAACCGUAUGACUAGAGUCCGGAAGAGGAGAGUGGAAUUCCUGGUGUAGCGGUGAAAUGCGCAGAUAUCAGGAAGAACACCCGUGGCGAAGGCGGCUCUCUGGGACGGUACUGACGCUGAGACGCGAAAGCGUGGGGAGCGAACAGG